AUGUGGCAAGUGAACGGUGGUCAGUACAAAGAAGGCAACAGCAUGGCCAACAUCAUCAAAAACGACAACACACUGAUGGUCCUCAGCUACUUAACCGUGACUGGACAGCAGUACAACAGUGCAGAAAUUGCUUGUGCAGUCAAAGAUGCCAACUUGCAGAAUGACUUCAAGCCGAGAACGAGCUCACCAUCUAAGACAAACGCUCCACCAAAAAUCGGCCUGGUGGAAUUUGGCCAAUCCAUAAUGUGCAUCAUUGAGGACUUCUACCCAAAGACCCUCAGUAUCAAGUGGAAAAAGAAUGACCGUGAAGUCAGAGGCCGAGACUGGAAAACCACAGAAAAUGACUCGGGGUCUUACAGAAAAGUCAGUGUCCUUGAUGAUAGUAUGACGUCUUUGAGUCUGAGCACCAAAUACACCUGUGAAGUCACACAUGGGGGCAAAACAUACACAGAGGAUCUGUCACCUAGAGCUCAGUUCUCUCUGAAAAUCAAUCCACCACAAGCAAAGGAACUUUUUAUAAACAAAAAAGCAGUAAUGGAGUGUGUCAUAACUGGUGAUAAUAAGAAGCAGGUGAAAGAAGCAAAAGUGUCAUGGACAGUUACAGGCCUGAGAAAGGAGUCUCUUAAUGUUCGUGUUGGUGGUGUUACACAGGCAGGAUCAUCAUUUACCAAAAUUAGUACACUGACCCUUGAAGAGUCCGUCUGGUUUUCAGGUACAGAAGUGAUUUGCUCCACCUCAAGAGACCAAAGAACAAUCUCUGACAAAAUCAGUGUUAAAAAAGGAGGACAGCGUCCCUCUGUUAUCAUUUACAAGCCUGAAAAGUCCUUCAGUGACUCUGACUCGGUGUCCCUGGUUUGUGAGGUCAGCAGCUCUGAUCUUGCGAAUGUGUACAUCAUGUGGCAAGUGAACGGUGGUCAGUACGUAGAAGGCAACAGCAUGGCCACCAUCAUCAAAAAGGACAACACACUGAUGGUCCUCAGCUACUUAACCGUGACUGGACAGCACUGCCUGCAUCAGAUUUACAACUCCGAUGCUUGCCUACAAACUCCAAAGUGGACCAGCUCCCCAGUACUUGAUGGCAAUUCUCAAAACUCAAUCCAUAUCUCAAGCCCUUCAAGCUUCAAAUACGGCUCGCCGUCCUUCAAGAUACAUGGAAGACAAGACUCUACUCUGUCCUGCAGCGCAGAUGGUGGAAUGAACUUUCUUUAA